rnacentral:rRNA from 1 species
GAUGAACGCUGGCGGCGUGCCUAAUACAUGCAAGUCGAGCGAACGGACGAGAAGCUUGCUUCUCUGAUGUUAGCGGCGGACGGGUGAGUAACACGUGGAUAACCUACCUAUAAGACUGGGAUAACUUCGGGAAACCGGAGCUAAUACCGGAUAAUAUUUUGAACCGCAUGGUUCAAAAGUGAAAGACGGUCUUGCUGUCACUUAUAGAUGGAUCCGCGCUGCAUUAGCUAGUUGGUAAGGUAACGGCUUACCAAGGCAACGAUGCAUAGCCGACCUGAGAGGGUGAUCGGCCACACUGGAACUGAGACACGGUCCAGACUCCUACGGGAGGCAGCAGUUGGGAAUCUUCCGCAAUGGGCGAAAGCCUGACGGAGCAACGCCGCGUGAGUGAUGAAGGUCUUCGGAUCGUAAAACUCUGUUAUUAGGGAAGAACAUAUGUGUAAGUAACUGUGCACAUCUUGACGGUACCCAAUCAGAAAGCCACGGCUAACUACGUG